rnacentral:rRNA from 1 species
GACGAACCGUGCAAACGUUGUUCGGAAUCACUGGGCUUAAAGGGCGCGUAGGCGGGCGGUCAAGUCAGAGGUGAAAGCCCACGGCUCAACCGUGGAAGUGCCCCUGAUACUGGCCGUCUUGAGGGAGAUAGGGGCGUGCGGAACUUUUGGUGGAGCGGUGAAAUGCGUAGAUAUCAAAAGGAACACCGGUGGCGAAAGCGGCGCGCUGGAUCUCUACUGACGCUGAUGCGCGAAAGCCAGGGGAGCAAACGGG